ensembl:snoRNA SNORD58 Small nucleolar RNA SNORD58
CUGCAGUGAUGACUCCUUAGGACACCUUUGGAUUCUCCAUGAAAACAAACUAAUGAUCUGAGCAGC